UACGGGGGGGGGCAAGCGUUGUUCGGAAUUACUGGGCGUAAAGGGCUCGUAGGCGGCCAACUAAGUCGGACGUGAAAUCCCUCGGCUCAACCGAGGACGUGCAUCCAAAACUGCUGGGCUUGAGUACUGAAGAGGAUCGCGGAAUUCCCGGUGUAGAGGUGAAAUUCGUAGAUAUCGGGAGGAACACCAGUGGCGAAGGCAGCUCUCUGGGACGGUACUGACGCUGAGGAGCGAAAGCGUGGGGAGCAAACAGG
rnacentral:rRNA from 1 species